UGGAACUUAAAACAUUGAUACUAAAGGAGUAAAAGAUAAGACUACUCCUCAUCUGGACUCUUUGAAGGGCCUAUAGAAGCUGUUGGCGAUCUCGCUCGGUUACGUGGUCGGCUCAUGCACUGGCACCUCAAUAAUGCCUCAACCCUGGCCCAGAUGGCCUAAAGAGCAUCCACCAAGACGCGCUGAAAGUCUCCAUGGUCCAGGAUGGGUAUCUCUGGAAUAUGAG
rnacentral:lncRNA from 1 species